AAUUCAUGGUUGGGACAUUUACUAAAUAAGGCCUUGUAUAUUUCCCAUGCCUCAUAGAAUGGUUCACCAAAUCCUUGAGAGAAUGUUGCAAUGGCAGAUUCGACACU